AGUUGAGCUCCAGGAGCCUGUACUUGCCGCUCUGCUUCUGCGACGCGGCCGUCAGGUACACUCCCCACGUGCGUCGCUCUCCUGCAGGUAAAGCACAUACCUGCUGCGCAUGAAGACUCCAAGUGAGGCGACUGCCAGGUAUGACUCCAGUGGAUAUACGAGCCGCUCUUCAACCUAUUCGACGCCAACAUGGGUCACCGGACAUCUUCAAUGUCCAGGAACGUUCCGCUCUUCAAUAAACCUCUUUGAUUGCAA
rnacentral:lncRNA from 1 species